rnacentral:rRNA from 1 species
AACGAACGCUGGCGGCAGGCCUAACACAUGCAAGUCGAGCGAGGACUUCGGUCCUAGCGGCGGACGGGUGAGUAACGCGUGGGAACGUGCCCUUUGCUACGGAAUAGCCCCGGGAAACUGGGAGUAAUACCGUAUGUGCCCUUCGGGGGAAAGAUUUAUCGGCAAAGGAUCGGCCCGCGUUGGAUUAGGUAGUUGGUGGGGGAAUGGCCUACCAAGCCGACGAUCCAUAGCUGGUUUGAGAGGAUGAUCAGCCACACUGGGACUGAGACACGGCGCAGACUCCUACGGGAGGCAGCAGUGGGGAAUCUUAGACGAUGGGGGAAACCCUGAUCUAGCCAUGCCGCGUGAGCGAUGAAGGCCUUAGGGUUGUAAAGCUCUUUCAGUGGGGAAGAUAAUGACGGUACCCACAGAAGAAGCCCCGGCUAACACCGUGCCAGCCGCCGCAGUAAAAC